AGCCAGUUGACGAGUCCCAAAUAGGACGAAAUGCGCAUCCUGGAU
rnacentral:hammerhead_ribozyme from 1 species